rnacentral:rRNA from 1 species
UUUGCGAACUGCUCAGUAACACGUGGAUAACCUGCCCUAUGCUCUGGAAUAACCUCGGGAAACUGAGAAUAAUACCGGAUAGAUCACAACGCCUGGAACGGUGUGUGGUUGAAAGAUUACGGCAUAGGAUGGGUCUGCGGCGUAUCAGGUUGUAGGGGGUGUAACGGACCUCCUAGCCAUCGACGCGUACGGGUGUUGGGAGACAUAGCCCGGAGAUGGAUUCUGAGACACGAAUCCAGACCCUACGGGGUGCAGCAGGCGCGAAAACUUCACACUGCAGGAAACUGUGAUGAGGGAACUCCAAGUGCGUGCACUUAGUGUGCGCUUUUCUUGACUAUUAAUCGGUCAUGGAAUAAGGGCUGGGAAAGACCGGUGCCAGCCGCCGCGGUAAUACCGGCAGCUCAAGUGGUCGUCGCUUUUAUUGGGCCUAAAACGUCCGUAGCCUGUUUGGUAAAUCUGUGGGUAAAUCAACCAGCUUAACUGGUUGAAUUCUGCAGAGACUGCCAGACUAGGGACCGGGAGAGGUGUGGGGUACUCUAGGGGUAGGGGUAAAAUCCUGUCAUCCUUAGAGGACCACCAGUUGCGAAGGCGCCACACUGGAACGGAUUCGACGGUCAGGGACGAAGCCUAGGGGCACGAACCGGAUUAGAUACCCGGGUAGUCCUAGGUGUAAACGCUGUGAACUUGGUGUCGGGGAUCCGUCAUGGGUCCCCGGUGCCGGAGUGAAGAUGUUAAGUUCACUGCCUGAGGAGUACGGUCGCAAGGCCGAAACUUAAAGGAAUUGGCGGGGGAGCACUGCAACGGGAGGAGCGUGCGGUUUAAUU